UACGGAGGGUGCGAGCGUUAAUCGGAAUUACUGGGCGUAAAGCGCACGCAGGCGGUUUGUUAAGCUAGAUGUGAAAGCCCCGGGCUCAACCUGGGAUGGUCAUUUAGAACUGGCAGACUAGAGUCUUGGAGAGGGGAGUGGAAUUCCAGGUGUAGCAGUGAAAUGCGUAGAUAUCUGGAGGAACAUCAGUGGCGAAGGCGACUCCCUGGCCAAAGACUGACGCUCAUGUGCGAAAGUGUGGGUAGCGAACAGC
rnacentral:rRNA from 1 species